rnacentral:rRNA from 1 species
GACGAACGCUGGCGGCGUGCUUAACACAUGCAAGUCGAACGGGCCCGCUCUCUUUUUUGGGGGUGGGUUGAGUGGCGGACGGGUGAGUAUCACGUGAGUAACCUGCCCCCUGCUCCUGGAUAACUGCUUGAAAGGGCGGCUAAUACGGGGUGUGCCGGCUGGUCCGCAUGGGCCUGGUCGGGAUAGUUUCAUCUUCGGGUGUUUCGGUGGGGGAUGGGCUCGCGGCCUAUCAGCUUGUUGGUGGGGUGAUGGCCCACCAAGGCGGUGACGGGUAGCCGGCCUGAGAGGGUGGGCGGCCACACUGGGACUGAGACACGGCCCAGACUCCUGCGGGAGGCAGCAGUGGGGGGUAUUGCACAAUGGGCGGAAGCCUGAUGCAGCGACGUCGCGUGAGGGAUGGAGGCCUUCGGGUUGUGAACCUCUUUCUCCGGUGGUGAAGGCCCUGUCCGUUGCGGCGGGGUUGACGGUAGCCGGGUAUGAAGCGCCGGCUAACUACGUG